GUUGACGUUUUACUUCCUGUGUGCCAGGCGCUGUGCUAGGGCAUUUCUCAACCUGGUACAACAUCAAUCACUGUAAAGCAGAAUUCCUCAAGCUUUAUGGUACACAACAGUUACUUAUGAUGCUCGUGAAAAUGCAGAUUCCCAGGCUCGCCCUGAAGACUUUGAUUUAAUAUGUCUAAGCCUGCGUAAAUGAAUCGGCCUGCUGCUAUAGUGAUAUCCUCAAGAGUCAGAGAAACCAAGCUGGGCGUUAGCACCUGCCGCUCCUGCCAGCAAAGCUCUGACAGUGGAAGCCACCCCCCCACCUUCAUGACUUCUGAGCCUUCUGAGAGAGGGAGAGUCCCCAUGGUGGCUAAGCAGAAAGUGGAUGAACCACAGUAAGAUAAGGAAGCAGAGACUUGGAGAGAUUAAGUGACUUGCCGGAGAUCCCUGACCAGAAAGUGGUAGAGCCAGUUUCAAACUCUUGCUCUUUACCUUGGAAACUGCUUUCUUGACCCUCACACUAUACUGCCCCAAAGGGCUGGAAUAGACAUGCAUGGAGCUCCUACUCUAUGCACAGAGUGCUGGAGAUUUUACAUACGUUGUUUAAAUGUCACAAUUGGCCUGUGUAGGUGUUAUCAUUCCCAUUUGUCAGAUGGGGAAGCUGAGACCCCAAGAUGUGGUUCACUCAGGUUUGUCCAGCCAGCUCUAGUAUACAAGGGUUUGAACUCAUGGCUGCUAGACUUCAAAGCCUAUGCUUGUUCGUCUACACAGCAUUGCCUGGUACCUAGAAAUCAUUAAGCCUAACACUGUCUUUUUCCCAACAAGGAAACAGAGCCCUGGAAAUACUAAGUGGCUUGCCCAAUGACAUCCUUCAAGGUCUAGAGACUGCCUCCCUCCAGCCUGAGCAGGCAGAUGGAAGAGAGUUCAUUUGCUCUAAGCUGGCCUGGUGUGCAUUAGGUCAAGUCCCAAGGGUGGCUGUCUACAAAAGCUACUGUACUUGAAGAGUGUGUGUUCAGAGUGGGAUCACACUGGAGUCUUGGGCCAUUUAUUCUCUAUUCCUGGUCAUCUCGUCCCCCUAACCCAACUCCUAUGUCCAGGAGAAUUCAUCCUGGAAGCAAAGCAUCAAAGGCCUUCCUCCAAACAACAUUUCUGACGUUAGCCCUUAUUUAUUAGGACUGUUCCCUCCCUGCUGGGUCACUAAGGCUGGUGGUAUGGCUUCCAAAGGUCACAG